UUCUCAUAUUUGAAAAUGAUCCUGAACAGUAUGGUAUAUUUGAAAUGAGAAAUAUUUCAAAUAUACCAUACUGUUCAGGAUCAUUUUCAAUAUGAGAA